GAUGAACGCUAGCGGCAGGCUUAACACAUGCAAGUCGAGGGGCAGCACAGGUAGCAAUACUGGGUGGCGACCGGCAAACGGGUGCGGAACACGUACACAAUCUGCCUUUGUCUGGGGAAUAGCCCGAAGAAAUUCGGAUUAACACCCCAUAAUAUAAUUGUGUGGCAUCACAUGAUUAUUAAAACUCCGGUGGACAAAGAUGAGUGUGCGUCCCAUUAGCUAGNGGUAGGGUAACGGCCUACCAAGGCGACGAUGGGUAGCUGGUGUGAGAGCACGACCAGCCACACGGGCACUGAGACACGGGCCCGACUCCUACGGGA
rnacentral:rRNA from 1 species